UUUUAAUGAAACAUAAUAGUAUUAAAACGGUUUUCUUCUUUUGAAAAAAUUUAUUGCUAGUCCUGUUUCUAAUCGACUUUACUUGUGUAUUUUAAGCUUUUUUGUUGCUGUGCUUUUUCUGGAGAUUUUAGUUGGAUUGGAAAGCUCCUGUGUAAGGUACCCUUUCCUAAAGAAAAAUUGAAGUAAUUUGUACAAUUAUAACGCGCCGAGCUGUGUUUUAUUUUAUUGUUUCUAAGAAGAUGUAAGAAUACAAUAUUAUCAAUUUUAAUUGGUUUUAUCCAAAUCAAGAUUGUGUACAAUGGGAGUGAGUGAUGUAAUCUUCUAAUGCGUGUGGUGAAAAGAAGGCGAAUCCGUUAUUGUUUUUCUGCCCAAAUUUGAAGCUAUUUAAUAAAUCUUGAUAAAGUUAAAAAACUGUUUUGA